UACAGAGGUCUCAAGCGUUGUUCGGAUUCAUUGGGCGUAAAGGGUGCGUAGGCGGCGCGGUAAGUCAGGGGUGAAAUCCCAGAGCUCAACUCUGGAACUGCCUUUGAUACUGGGUGUCUUGAGUAUGGAAGAGGUGAGUGGAAUUCCGAGUGUAGAGGUGAAAUUCGUAGAUAUUGGGAAGAACACCGGUGGCGAAGGCGGCCAUCUGGACCGCAACUGACGCUGAGGCGCGAAAGCGUGGGGAGCAAACAGG
rnacentral:rRNA from 1 species